UUUCCGUAGGUGAACCUGCGGAAGGAUCAUUAGUGAAAAACCGCUUGAGCCGUCGCCCUUGGGCAUGGCUCUCGCCCCCUUCACAUCCAUAACACCUGUGAACUGUAAGACGUCAGGAUCUCGGUCCGGUCUGACCCAUUUUACAAACAUUUUGUAGUAACAAACGUAGUUAUAUUAUAACAUAAUAAAACUUUCAACAACGGAUCUCUUGGCUCUCGCAUCGAUGAAGAACGCAGC
rnacentral:misc_RNA from 1 species